rnacentral:lncRNA from 1 species
CGAGAAGAGCUAACCUGUCACUGUUUACCUUAUACCUGGACCCACCACCAGAUUAAGACCACUAAACAAAGGUAAUAAAUUAUGUUAAAUAUCGGAGUGCCCAAAGAUAAACCCCUAGGACCAAAAUCCAUAGGAGCCCUCCUUGAUGAAGAAUUCAUGCUUGGACCUCUGGCGAGCCUACUAGCUUGUGCUUGCCGUUCUUGAGCAGCAUCUCUGUGCACUUCCUCGAUCUUUUUCGGCCCUUCAACUUUCCUCCUCUGCUGCCAUUUAUUCUUUCUCAACUCAAUUGAAUCCUUCAACAUAAGCCUAACCCUAGAAGAUAGUUUCAUGUUGUUUGACAACUUUUCCAUUCUGUCAAAAUAAGCAUCCAUAUGCUCUUUGGCCUUGGGGUGAUCGAUCAUCUCUCCUAUUGUGCUCAUUAAUAUACACAAAGCCUCAACAUCCUCCUCGUCAGGAUUCUCAUACUGGCCCAGCAACUUCUUGAUGCAUUCAUGCAUUAUUCUCUCAGUCAACAUUUUCUUCUUGUACAACUCACCAAUUAGUCUAAUGUUGCCUAGCCAUCGUCUUCGAGCCUUGAUUCUCUUCUCUUCUCUUUCUUCCUCGGUCUGCUUAAUCUCCCCCUCUUUAUCAGCUUUGUUAGCUUCUUCUUGCUCUCUCUCUCCUCUCUCAAAUUCCUCUUGGCAUUUGUUCAGAAGCAGUCUCUUGAAAGUAAUUUUUUCAUUGUCUUCACUGAAAUCAGGUAACUCUCCAGCAAGAAAAUAACAGAAGUUUGCAUACAUCUCACAGAAAGUAGGCUCCAUUAAAGCUUUGUCAAAAAUUUGAUAGAUCACACCAGUGAGUGUAACAGCAUUGUCGAUGUUUACUGCUUUUACUUGCUCAAAGAGUUUCUCGAAGUUUUGAGGAGUUAGCUUGUUCAAAAUAGCUUUCAGCUGCCUCUGCUUGGCCUCUUCCCCAUAACCACGAUUUUGAUUAGGCAAUCCUCGGAAACUACCCAUCUGGGUAGUAGGGGAAGAUAAGCCCCUAGGACCAAAAUCCAUAGGAGCCCUCCUUGAUGAAGAAUUCAUGCUUGGACCUCUGGCGAGCCUACUAGCUUGUGCUUGCCGUUCUUGAGCAGCAUCUCUGUGCACUUCCUCGAUCUUUUUCGGCCCUUCAACUUUCCUCCUCUGCUGCCAUUUAUUCUUUCUCAACUCAAUUGAAUCCUUCAACAUAAGCCUAACCCUAGAAGAUAGUUUCAUGUUGUUUGACAACUUUUCCAUUCUUUCAAAAUAAGCAUCCAUAUGCUCUUUGGCCUUGGGGUGAUCGAUCAUCUCUCCUAUUGUGCUCAUUAAUAUACACAACGCCUCAACAUCCUCCUCGUCAGGAUUCUCAUACUGGCCCAGCAACUUCUUGAUGCAUUCAUGCAUUAUUCUCUCAGUCAACAUUUUCUUCUUGUACAACUCACCAAUUAGUCUAAUGUUGCCUAGCCAUCGUCUUCGAGCCUUGAUUCUCUUCUCUUCUCUUUCUUCCUCGGUCUGCUUAAUCUCCCCCUCUUUAUCAGCUUUGUUAGCUUCUUCUUGCUCUCUCUCUCCUCUCUCAAAUUCCUCUUGGCAUUUGUUCAGAAGCAGUCUCUUGAAAGUAAUUUUUUCAUUGUCUUCACUGAAAUCAGGUAACUCUCCAGCAAGAAAAUAAAAGAAGUUUGCAUACAUCUCACAGAAAGUAGGCUCCAUUAAAGCUUUGUCAAAAAUUUGAGAGACCACACCAGCGAGUGUAACAGCAUUGUCGAUGUUUACUGCUUUUACUUGCUCAAAGAGUUUCUUGAAGUUUGGAGCAUUUAGUCUUCCUAUGUCACCACGACAUUCAAUAUGCAAUUUUAAGUUUCUCAUCCUCUUGCUAAGCCGUCUUUUCCCUCUGUUAUCUGAUCUGAUUUCCUGAUAAUAAAAAGCACAGGCAAAUCACACAGUUUAUCCACUAACCCACUAACAGUAAAUGUUUUAUCACUAAAGAAUUCCAAUCAAAUCAUGCAAAUGUAAGUGUCGCUAAUAUAAUGAUUAGUUCAUGGAAGUGUAUAAUCACUACUACAGAAGAGAGAUAACCUUAUCACGUGAAUUUCGAUGUUUCUUGUCAUUCCUCUCAUGAUUAUCAUUCUUGAGUUCAGAUUCAUCGUCAGGCAAUAAAGAAUCCACGAGGUCUUCGCCAAAAUCAUCCACAUCAUCGCCACCUUGACUAUAACCAGGGCCAUUCUCCCUCCUCUUAUUGCGCCCCAAAUGCCUUCCUCGACCUUCUCUACGCAAAUCCAACAAAGACUCUUCAAUGUCUAAGGCUGAUACUGAAUGAAGAUUAAUUCCAGAAGGAGGACCAGGAUGAUCAAGCUGUCUAGUGAGCCCUACACCAUUACCACCUUCAACAGCAGAACUAGUAAAUCUGUUAGUCAUAUCAACAUUAUGCUCAAAUCCCCUUCUGCUAUUACCACUGCCAGCAACUCUUGCCUUGUUCGAAAAGCCAGGAGGCGGUGUUGAGCCAUAAUGCUGUUUGCCAAGUCUCAAAUCAUGUUCUCGAGAAUUCUCCAGAUUCCUGUGCUGAAAUGAAUUCGGAUUCGAAAUAGAACUUGCUCGGGGUUGGUCAAAUUGACUGUUCCUAUCCAAAUUGUAUUUCAAAUUAUCUAAAGGAUUCAAAUUCAAUAAGCUGUCGGGUUGGACCUGGAAAGAACCAAACCGCAGAUUCUGCUGCUGCUGCUGUUGGUGAUUCGGUUGCUGAAUAAGAUUAUGAAUUGCAGCAUAAUUGGCGUUAGACAACCCUAGUCUCCCCAAAUCCUCGCACAAGAGUCGUUGCUGAUUUUCAGUAGAAGGAGAAGCCCAAGGGUUUUGAGGAAACCCUAGGAAAUUGAGAAGGAGAGGAGUGCGGGGCCAGGUCGGAGGAAGAUCACCGCCGUUGGAUGGCCACUGUGGCGGGAAAUUUAUGGUGGGGCCUACAGCCGCAACAGCAGGAUCGUUGGGCAGGGAUGGUUGUUGCGGUGGAGUUUGAUGUGGAGGAGCUUGGGGAUGCUGCUGGGGCUUUUGGAGGAGAGAUAGAAGAAAUUCGCCGCUGUUACAGGCUGGCGUAAGCGGCGAUUCACCGCCGCCGCCGGUCAUAGCAGUGAGGUUGUUUUUUACACUUACACUGAAGCGAGUAAACGGAGAAGAAGAAGAAGAAGAAGAAGAAGAAUGACGCGAGAAAGCUUUCUGAGUCUGACUGUGAUUUGUUGGUAUUUCUUUUAGUUUUACGGAAUUAUUGUUACUCUAUUAAUUAAAUAAUUUACUUCAUCGGCAAGUAUUAGAUUUUUCGCUACUCGCAUCUGAUCUGAAGUGGGUCCCGGUUAUUAGAUCAGCGGAAGAUUCGUAGACCACGCUACAACGACUUGUCGUCCGUCUGUGUACUAUUUGUCAUAUGUUUGUGGAUUUAUGAUUCUAUUCUAUUUCUCUCUUACUUAUUCAUCAAUAAUAAUAAUUAUAAAGAAAAAAAAAAUCAAUAAACGCUUGAAGCCUGCCUGUUGAAUAACUGCCGAAGAAUCGCAAUGCCAAAUCCAAGUGGAAGGCAUGAUCAACACACUAAUAAGUAUUAUACAUGUAAGCAAGUCUAAUGACAAACUUGAAAACUUUCCAUUAACAAUAUGAUAAAAUUGAGUCCACCAAAUCAACAACAGUAUUGUUUAUGCAUCAAAUUAAGUCCGUUAUUUAUGUGUUGGCAAGUAUGAUUCCAAGACAGCUACAUUUGUAUUGCGUACUCCAGGCAUUACUGAUUAACACACACACACACACACACAUCAAUUGGAUGUAUAUAUUACACAAAACACAUGAUUUGCUUAGCCUUGAGAAAGGAUAUUAACAUUUCCUCAAGAUUACAUAACUCAAGUUACUCAACCUCAAUCUUAGAUUUGCUUAUCAGGAUGCAACAGAAUCUGAAACCGCGUUAUUUUCCAGGUCUCCAAGUGUUUCUUACAUUGACGUAGGCUUAAUUACUGCUUUGGCCCCUGAUUUCAUUCCUUCAUUCUCCUAAAUUCAUUUCUUUCCGGUCUUACUUUUGCUUUCAUAAUAAUUCAUCAAAUGUUGAGAUGUGAUACCAUGGCACACACGAGAAGAGCUAACCUGUCACUGUUUACCUUAUACCUGGACCCACCACCAGAUUAAGACCACUAAACAAAGGUAAUAAAUUAUGUUAAAAAUCGGAGUGCCCAAAACCGCAUGGACAAACAUUUUGAUGCUCAAUUGAACUCUUUUCCAUAAUUGCAGUUGCAGUAAAAAUCUGCUGAUGAAAUAAUAUUAGUAGAAGGAAAACCCC